UAGUUGCAGAUUUUUUUUAAAAGAUAAGAAAUUGAAUGAGUCAUAGGAAGUGGAGAAAAUACGCGACUAUAAGGUGAUCCAUCAAGAACGUAUCCUUUGGACGUUCCAAUGUACAACCGUCCAUCAGCACUGGCGCUAUUUUGUGGUAUGAUAGUUCUGACAUGACCCGUGGCUUCUGGUAGCUACGUUGAAAAAAGUUUUAAAGUGUUCAUAUCUUCAUUCUACAGAUGGAAUUGCUACAUAGAUAUGGCUUUUCCAACCAAGACUAUACAUUUGGAGGUAUUUCUACUAAGUGAUAAAUCCAAAUUGAUACUGAAGAUGUAUUCAACAUCAGGACUCCAAACUGUUAUGGUACCAUUGGAAUCACCAGUUAAAACAUCCCCUUUGGCAGAGAAUGCAAGUGAACAUAUUUCAUUUGGUAUGUCACCCUGUAAGAAAAUGAUAAAACUAUCAGCCAUCUGAGCGGAUGCAAUGGACUUGUUUGUUGGAUUUAAAGCCAUGCUGAAGAGGAACAAUGUAGAAUUCUAAUUCGUAUUACAGAAUUUGAAAUACAUACAAUUCAGAUUGGGACAUUUAUUUUCUUAUAUAAAGAAAUAAAAGAUCUGGUAUGACUGCCAAUGAUUUAACUCUCCAUCAGCUAAGCUUGUUGCAGAUUGAAUAACUAUUUCUAAAAUUUAUCAAAUAUGUUGUAAAGAUGGACUACAUUUACAAUAUUGUGGUACACUACAGGGCUUUUGUAAGGAACAAUAGUUAAGGUUAUGUAGUGAAUCAAAGAUAUGCAAUUUGAUUGUGAGGAUUUUAAUUUCACAAUUCAUAUGCGGCAAAUUUUUAUCAACUUCACAUUUAUUCAUGAUUGUUAUUUCCAAUUCUCCUAUUAAGGUGGUACCAAACAUUUUCAUAAAAUUUUGAUAAAAUAUUUACUUUGACCCUUUGACAAAAAUAUAAAAAUUUAAACAAACUUGAACCACACACUUUAUCGGGAAAAAUUUCAUUGUAUAUAUAGCAGUGUGACAAACACUAAUUUUGAUCAUUGAAAAGCUUAAUAUUUCCUUAACAAUAGAACGUGAUUAAAACGUUCAGCCGAUUUUUAAAGAGUUAUCUCCCUGUAAUGUUAUGUGCCACCUUAAAUUGUCUACACAAUGAAAAUAACACAAAUGUCGUGCGCCCGAAGCACUUUUCUGGGCUACACCAGGAUCUCUCAGAACCCCAAAACAUAAAAGCCAAUGAUGUAUAAACAAAUGAAAACAGGAGGAGUUAUAUAUGACUAAUAGGAACUUCAGCAUGAUCGCUAAUUUCCACUCAAGUGAAAUUUGUCCGAGUACAAUUGAUUUCCAAAUGCUCAAAAUUUAAAAACAAACGCGCAAAUCCUUUUCCUUUUUGUUAUUUAAUUGUAAACGAUAUUACAAAAAAUAUUAGAAUUAAUUUUUAUUUUUAUUUUUCUUGAUACUGAUAUCGUAAGUUUUUAUGUAUAAAUCAGCUUUUCUAAAAUGACAUAUGACAAGUAUAUGACGACAUUCAUAUACAUUAAAUUUUCAUAGAGUCGACCAUGUGCAAUACAGUUUAUUUUGAAUAUAUUUUUAGCAUGAUUAGAUUUCAAAAUGUAUUCAUAUUCUUCGUGAACGUACCAAUAACAAUAAUAAGCCAAAACAUUUGUAUAAAUGUCUAUAUGCUCAUUAAUGCAUACAGUGUUGGAUGUAACAAAAACAAUGAGAGAAUUUGAUAUCAAUAAUAAAUAUUUGUCAUCGUAAGCGUGAUAAAUUAUCAAAUUUAUAUGAUGUUUGAAAUGCAUAUCUUUUAAAUUGUGCAUUUUAAUUGUGUAAUCCCUGUCAUGUACAUGAUGUAUGAACAGCGUUAGCAACUGAAUAAAAUUCGAAAGAAAAAAAUUAUUCAAAUAUGGAAUUGAUUACCUGAGCUAUGCUCUUUAACUAAGUACUUUAUUUGGCUUUUUUUUUCUUUUGGCUUCGAGUGUCACUGAUGAGAGUCUUUUGUAAACGAAACGCAUAUUUUGAAAACUUGAAAUUAGACAAAACCAGAGGUUCCCUGGAUUCACAGUCACCAGGAACGAUCAUAGCAGAAUAUCCAAAAACAACUAGGAUAUAAAAAAACCAAAGCAGUUAAAGAGCUACAUGACCAAAAAAGGACCUAGAAUAAGUUUCAUAUCCAUCUAAAGGCUAACUUUUUCUGAGGGAGAUGAAAACUUAAGUUUCUUAAUGAUUAUACAUUGUUUGCAAUAAUAAAAACGAUUAUAC